rnacentral:rRNA from 1 species
CACGUAGUUAGCCGGGGCUUCUUAGUCAGGUACCGUCAUUUUCUUCCCUGCUGAUAGAGCUUUACAUACCGAAAUACUUCUUCACUCACGCGGCGUCGCUGCAUCAGGGUUCCCCCCAUUGUGCAAUAUUCCCCACUGCUGCCCCCCGUAGGAGUUUGGGCCGUGUCUCAGUCCCAAUGUGGCCGGUCACCCUCUCAGGCCGGCUACUGAUCGUCGCCUUGGUGGGCCUCUACCCCGCCAACUAGCUAAUCCAGACGCGGGUCCAUCGUAUACCGUUUACGCUUUUCACACUGCUCCAUGCGAAGCUGUGCGCUUAUGCGGUAUUAGCACCUAUUUCUAAGUGUUAUCCCCCUGUAUACGGCAGGUUACCCACGCGUUACUCACCCGUCGCCACUAAAACAAAAUCACUGUUCAUUCUGUUCCCGUUCGACUUGCCAUGUGUUAGGCUACGCCGCCAGCGUUCAUCCUGACGCCAGAUCAAACGUCUCUGAGUACUCGUCCAA